GCCGCGCCGCGCCCCCCGCGCCGGCCGGAGGGGGCCGCAGCCCGGACCAUGGCAGCGGCGGAGGCGGCGGGCGCCGAGGGAGGGCACGCGGC
rnacentral:miRNA from 1 species